GCUGGUGUAGCACAGGGGAAGUGCAGCUGAUUCGUAAUCAGCAGGUCGUGAGUUCAAAUCUCACCACCAGCUCCA
rnacentral:tRNA from 1 species